GCUCCUCCAUCAUCUCCUGGAGCUCCAUACAUUUCAGCUCCACCCUCCUCUUUCUCUCGUGGUCCAGAAUCUCUCUGUGCGGCUUUUUCACCAGGACGGGCUCUGCUGUGGGCUCCUCCUCCUCUUCCUCCUCAGUACCCGGCUGUCCUUCCUCGGUUUUAUCUUGCAGGGCUGCAGUUGGCGUCGGCCCUGCUGAUCCCGCAGCUGUAGCUGUUCCUGCUCCGGGGACCACGGGCAGGACCAUCCCGUUUGCACCAUCCUUAGGAGAUGGCACCCUCGCUGCAUCGUACAUGGUCACUGAACUCUGUGGAGACACGGAUUAUGGAGAGAACUUGUCAGCUGAACACUAGUUUACUGAUGAAACGAUGAGGCUGUCAUUUUGCUGAAUAAAAAGUUGCCUGGAACAA